GCCUUUAUCCAAUUAUUUGCAUUCUUAUUUGUUUCUAUUCAACCAAUGUUUCGCAUGUUUUAAUUGAUAAAAUGUUAUUGUUUUAAAUAAACAAAUUUUUCAUAAAUUGUUUUUUAACAAAGUGAACAUUCAUGAUGAUAAGAAGGAUACUUAGGAGGUCCUCAGUGCUCUCCCAAGGGUGGUAUGAUUUCCAACAGGGUAAGACAUUGGUUCAUGUCCCUGGCGUUUGAUUGCAUCCUUUGCCUCCAGACCCUUUUGUGGUUUUAUC
rnacentral:lncRNA from 1 species